rnacentral:rRNA from 1 species
UACGAAGGGGACUAGCGUUGUUCGGAAUCACUGGGCGUAAAGCGCACGUAGGCGGAUUUGUAAGUCAGGGGUGAAAUCCCGGGGCUCAACCUCGGAACUGCCUUUGAUACUGCGAGUCUUGAGUCCGAUAGAGGUGGGUGGAAUUCCUAGUGUAGAGGUGAAAUUCGUAGAUAUUAGGAAGAACACCGGUGGCGAAGGCGGCCCACUGGUCCGGUACUGACGCUGAGGUGCGAAAGCGUGGGGAGCAAACAGG